rnacentral:rRNA from 1 species
UACGAAGGGGGCGAGCGUUGUUCGGAUUUACUGGGCGUAAAGGGCUCGUAGGCGGCCAACUAAGUCAGACGUGAAAUCCCUCGGCUUAACCGGGGAACUGCGUCUGAUACUGGAUGGCUAGAGGUUGGGAGAGGGAUGCGGAAUUCCAGGUGUAGCGGUGAAAUGCGUAGAUAUCUGGAGGAACACCGGUGGCGAAGGCGGCAUCCUGGACCAAUUCUGACGCUGAGGAGCGAAAGCCAGGGGAGCAAACGGG